rnacentral:misc_RNA from 1 species
GUUGGUGCGUUUCAAGAUACUUUAAAAUUUGUUUUUAUAAGAAUUUCCUCAGUUACGAGAUGCUGUAAAAUGUAGAACUAACACUUAGUCAGAUAUUCCUGCAGAACGAACUUAUUUCACAUUUAUUUAUUGGUUAACGAUGACAAUAAUCGAGAGUCUUGAAGUUUCAGGACAUCAUGAACCUGCGGUAUUGUUUGAAGCUAGCCGUCGUGUUGCUGCUGCUCAACGUGUCAGCCAUCAUCUUCAUGAACAUCAUUUUUAUGCUGACGACGCCUUCGGCAGUCAAAGAAAAAUACGUCACUGUGGGCCCUCCUAAGUCGCUCCUCGAGGAUGAAUACAUUGCUGAAGGGGAUUAUAAAGAGACCGAAGACCAAACUAGAGAAAAGAAGCUGAUAAAACAAUUUGAAAUCGAUUUGUCGACCGGACUUUGGGACAAGUCACGUGUUUUCAAAGUUCACCCAUUCAUCAUUAAAUCCUCCAAGUGGGAUGAAUUACGGCGUUGGGAAGUGUGCAUGUCUUCGCAAUGCUCAGCAGAUUUGCUGUUCUGGGUCGUAGAACAAGUCAAAACAUGGCAAGGCCCGGUUUCCAUUGCUGUCUUUGCACCAGAUGUGGAUUUCAUAGUUGCUAAACUAAUGAUUCAGUACAUGAGAACUUGCUUUCCCGAGGUCAGGGAGCGAGUUUCAUUCCACCUGGUAUACCCAGGCAUUAUGCCUCCCGUUCUAAACACAUCCAAGUUAUUAGAAUAUGAUUGCCAGCGACAUGAAGAUGUUAAUAAUGAAUUGAAAAAUUUAUUCCGAACACCAGAAUUAAAGAAAAUUCUAGGGGUAUCCCGUUAUCCUCAGAAUUUAAUGCGAAAUACGGCCAGGCAUGCUUGCCAGAACACAUUCAGUUUCACCCCUGACAUAGACAUGCUUUCCAUUCCAAGCAUGUCGGAGCAACUGAAUGAAUUCUUAGCGAGGCCAAAUAUAGCUAAUUGCCAUAAAUGUGCGUUCAUCAUUCCCACGUACGAGAUAUCAAUUAGGGCUCCAGCAAAUCCUACUUCAAAAGAGGAGCUAGUGAAACUCAGGAGCAAGGGACUAGCGCAGCAGUUCCACAUCAGAGUCUUCAAGAACAACCAAGCCAACUCAAAUCUCUCAUAUUGGGAGACUGUACCGAGUACGGAUGGGUCGUUAAAUAUUGCUUACAACAUAACCACGUGGAAGCGUCACUGGGAACCCAUCUACGUGACCAAUGCCAAGGUGCCAGCUUUCGAAGAGAGGUUCAUCGGCUACGGUUUCACUCGCAACAGCCAGGUAUACGAGAUGAGGCUGGCGGGCUACUCGUGGUUGAUGCUGGACGGCGCCUUCUUGACACACCGCGGCUUCCAGACCAAGCGCACGCACACCAAGACGCGCAGAAAGCAAAUCGCCGAGAACAGCGGCCGUUUUAACAUUUUUGUACGCGAGCUCUACCAGCGCUACCACAUCCAAUUGAAGGACGAAGACGCUAUGUCAGCCUUCGGCCAGAAAACCCACACAAAGACGGAAGAUAAAAAGAUCGAGAAUCAUCAAAUUGAAAAUGUAAAUUCUGCUCCUGAUUCGCCGAACCAAUCUUAACCGGCAGAUGUACUUAUUUUGUACUUAUAAUUAUUAUUUGUGUUUUCGAACUAAGUGCUUAUGAACUCAACUGUACAAUGCUUCCUAUAUUUAAACAAAUUUGUUGUUAGCUAUGACUUAAGUUGUUGAGUCACGGUUACUAUAUGAUGUCUGGUCUAGGAUAAUUACAUAUAACAUUUCAUUGCUCCACGAGCCAAUCUUGAUCUGUAACAUGAAUUUACAUUUUUCGAUGAAACAAUUAGGAAGAAACUUCUACUAAUGUAAGUAUCAAUUUGCGUGAAAAACAUUUCUCGCUUAUAAGAAUAGAAUUGAUUGUUGCAGUGUUUUCGUAUCUAGCUAAUUAAGAGUAAGAUGUAUGCACGUAGUCUGUAUAUAUACUUUAAAGUACAAGUUUGUAUGACAGUUUAUUUGAAGAAAAUAACAGUCUAUUACUAUAAUCCAUUGCAUGGAUGAAAGCGAGGUAAAUUCAACAAGAAGAUUUUUCGCGUGACUAUACGUUUGUGUCGAUGAUAUUUAAAAUAGUGUAGAAGAGAGGUCUAAUAUAAUAUAAUUAACCCUGAUACGCGCUUUAUCAACAUGGUUAUCAUACCAUUAUUCCCACGCCUCACAAUGACUCCUCUAAGAGGCCCCUUGUUGCAGUAAAUUCAUCAUAAUGUCUUCAUGAUUAAGCAUGAGCAGGAUCGGCUCAGUGAGCAGAUCGUUUUUUAAUUGUGAGCCAGUGCGUGAACCGCAAAUUUCAGGGAAUCCGCUGUAUAUGAGCAAGAGUUUGCUCGUAUAUGAACGAGUAGAGCUCCUUUACAUUACAACGCAGUCAUGUAGUUAUAUUUUAUACAAUAAUUUUAUUGAAAUAAUUAAAAAAAAUAAACCUAAAAUUUUACAAUUUCGAAAUAUAUGGGGAAAAAUCGUUCAAGGGGCCGGCAGACCCGGUACGUGAUAAUAACCCGUUUCGCCUUUUUCCAAAUGUGGUACGGGUUCCUUGAGUUAAAAUUACAAAAUAAACGGCAACACGCUAUUUUACGGCAGUUUUUUCGAACAGUGUGGCCAACAGCGUAAUCUCUAAAUCAUCUUUGUACGUGAGCUCAACCAGCGCUAUCACAUCCAGCUGGGCGACUACGCCGAG